rnacentral:rRNA from 1 species
GACGAACCGUACAAACGUUAUUCGGAAUUACUGGGCUUAAAGGGUGCGUAGGCGGCCCGGGAAGUUGGGUGUGAAAUACCUCGGCUCAACCGAGGAAUUGCGCUCAAAACUGCCGGGCUUGAGGAAGAUAGAGGUGAGCGGAACUUAGGGUGGAGCGGUGAAAUGCGUUGAUAUCCUAAGGAACACCGGUAGCGAAAGCGGCUCACUGGGUCUUCUCUGACGCUGAGGCACGAAAGCUAGGGGAGCGAACGGG